rnacentral:rRNA from 1 species
UACGGAGGGUGCAAGCGUUAUCCGGAUUUACUGGGUUUAAAGGGUGUGUAGGCGGGCCUUUAAGUCUGGGGUGAAAUCCCCGGGCUCAACCCGGGAACUGCGUCCGAUACUGGAGGGCUUGAAUCCGGGAGAGGGAUGUGGAAUUCCAGGUGUAGCGGUGAAAUGCGUAGAUAUCUGGAGGAACACCGGUGGCGAAGGCGACAUCCUGGACCGGUAUUGACGCUGAGGCGCGAAAGCCAGGGGAGCAAACGGG